GAUGAACGCUGGCGGCGUGCCUAAUACAUGCAAGUCGAGCGAACGGACGAGAAGCUUGCUUCUCUGAUGUUAGCGGCGGACGGGUGAGUAACACGUGGAUAACCUACCUAUAAGACUGGGAUAGCUUCGGGAAACCGGAGCUAAUACCGGAUAAUAUUUUGAACCGCAUGGUUCAAAAGUGAAAGACGGUCUUGCUGUCACUUAUAGAUGGAUCCGCGCUGCAUUAGCUAGUUGGUAAGGUAACGGCUUACCAAGGCAACGAUGCAUAGCCGACCUGAGAGGGUGAUCGGCCACACUGGAACUGAGACACGGUCCAGACUCCUACGGGAGGCAGCAGUAGGGAAUCUUCCGCAAUGGGCGAAAGCCUGACGGAGCAACGCCGCGUGAGUGAUGAAGGUCUUCGGAUCGUAAAACUCUGUUAUUAGGGAAGAACAUAUGUGUAAGUAACUGUGCACAUCUUGACGGUACCUAAUCAGAAAGCCACGGCUAACUACGUGCCAGCAGCCGCGGUAAUACGUAGGUGGCAAGCGUUAUCCGGAAUUAUUGGGCGUAAAGCGCGCGUAGGCGGUUUUUUAAGUCUGAUGUGAAAGCCCACGGCUCAACCGUGGAGGGUCAUUGGAAACUGGAAAACUUGAGUGCAGAAGAGGAAAGUGGAAUUCCAUGUGUAGCGGUGAAAUGCGCAGAGAUAUGGAGGAACACCAGUGGCGAAGGCGACUUUCUGGUCUGUAACUGACGCUGAUGUGCGAAAGCGUGGGGAUCAAACAGGAUUAGAUACCCUGGUAGUCCACGCCGUAAACGAUGAGUGCUAAGUGUUAGGGGGUUUCCGCCCCUUAGUGCUGCAGCUAACGCAUUAAGCACUCCGCCUGGGGAGUACGACCGCAAGGUUGAAACUCAAAGGAAUUGACGGGGACCCGCACAAGCGGUGGAGCAUGUGGUUUAAUUCGAAGCAACGCGAAGAACCUUACCAAAUCUUGACAUCCUUUGACAACUCUAGAGAUAGAGCCUUCCCCUUCGGGGGACAAAGUGACAGGUGGUGCAUGGUUGUCGUCAGCUCGUGUCGUGAGAUGUUGGGUUAAGUCCCGCAACGAGCGCAACCCUUAAGCUUAGUUGCCAUCAUUAAGUUGGGCACUCUAAGUUGACUGCCGGUGACAAACCGGAGGAAGGUGGGGAUGACGUCAAAUCAUCAUGCCCCUUAUGAUUUGGGCUACACACGUGCUACAAUGGACAAUACAAAGGGCAGCGAAACCGCGAGGUCAAGCAAAUCCCAUAAAGUUGUUCUCAGUUCGGAUUGUAGUCUGCAACUCGACUACAUGAAGCUGGAAUCGCUAGUAAUCGUAGAUCAGCAUGCUACGGUGAAUACGUUCCCGGGUCU
rnacentral:rRNA from 1 species